rnacentral:misc_RNA from 1 species
UACGUAGGGUGCAGGCGUUAAUCGGAAUUACUGGGCGUAAAGCGUGCGCAGGCGGCUACUCAAGUCAGAUGUGAAAUCCCCGGGCUUAACCUGGGAACUGCGUUUGAAACUGGGUGGCUAGAGUGCGGCAGAGGGGGGUGGAAUUCCACGUGUAGCAGUGAAAUGCGUAGAUAUGUGGAGGAACACCGAUGGCGAAGGCAGCCCCCUGGGCCUGCACUGACGCUCAUGCACGAAAGCGUGGGGAGCAAACAGG